rnacentral:rRNA from 1 species
CCUACGGGUGGCAGCAGUGGGGGAUAUUGCACAAUGGGGGGAACCCUGAUGCAGCGAAGCCGCGUGGAUGAAGAAGGGUUUCGGCGCGUAAAGCCCUAUCGGCAGGGAAGAAGAAGACGGUACCUGACCAAGACGCCGCGGCUAACUACGUGCCAGCAGCGGCGGUAAUACGGAGGAGGCAAGCGUUAUCCGGAGUAAAUGGGUGUUAAGGGGGCGCAGACGGGAAUGCAAGCGCGUUGGUAAAGGCCGGGGCCGAACCCCGGGACAGCCGUUGGAACUGCAUGGCUGGAGUAGCGGAGGGGCAUGCGGAAUGCGGAGUGUAGCGGUGAAAUGCGGAGAUAUUAGGAAGAACACCGGUUGCGAAGGCGGCCUACGGGACUCGGACUGACGCUGAGGCCCGAAGGCGUGGGUAGCAAACAGGAUGAGAUACCCUUGUAGUC